AGUGAACGCUGGCGGUAGGCCUAACACAUGCAAGUCGAACGGCAGCACAGUAAGAGCUUGCUCUUACGGGUGGCGAGUGGCGGACGGGUGAGGAAUACAUCGGAAUCUACUUUUUCGUGGGGGAUAACGUAGGGAAACUUACGCUAAUACCGCAUACGACCUACGGGUGAAAGCAGGGGAUCUUCGGACCUUGCGCGAUUGAAUGAGCCGAUGUCGGAUUAGCUAGUUGGCGGGGUAAAGGCCCACCAAGGCGACGAUCCGUAGCUGGUCUGAGAGGAUGAUCAGCCACACUGGAACUGAGACACGGUCCAGACUCCUACGCGAGGAAGCAGUGGGGAAUAUUGGACGAUGGGCGCAAGCCUGAUCCAGCCAUACCGCGUGGGUGAAGAAGGCCUUCGGGUUGUAAAGCCCUUUUGUUGGGAAAGAAAAGCAGCAGGUUAAUACCCCGCUGUUCUGACGGUACCCAAAGAAUAAGCACCGGCUAACUUCGUG
rnacentral:rRNA from 1 species